ACCGAACAAAAUAUAUUUUACUUUAAUUUAUGACAAAAUAUCAUUACCUCCUCUGAUUAUGCUUAGAAUAGUAUUUUGCUUAGUUUUAACAUUUCGCCUGCAUUCAAGCGAACAUCGGAUCUAUUACUAAAUUUAACCUAAAAUUUUGAUUUUAUGAAUAAUAAAUGAGAGUGUUCCGUGACAAUCAUAUAAAGUAGAAACUUAAAAACGUAAAGUAAUUUUUUAAAUGGUACUGCUUAAAUAUUUUAAUCGACUAUAAGGGGGACAUCAGGGUCCUCACAGACUUCAUCAGUUGGGCUGUAACGAGGAUUCGCAUAUUCGUCGCUGUUGCGUGGGCAGGGUUUGGAGACACAGGAUUCUGUUUAUUUUGCUGCGUGUGGUUUGAGGAAGGAUCAAGACUAAACUCAGUUCCUUGCUGUUGUAUAGAGUUGUCAUAAUUAAAGCCAGCAAACUGA